rnacentral:rRNA from 1 species
UGGGGAAUUUUGGACAAUGGGCGAAAGCCUGAUCCAGCAAUGCCGCGUGUGUGAAGAAGGCCUUCGGGUUGUAAAGCACUUUUGUCCGGAAAGAAAUCCUUGGCUCUAAUACAGUCGGGGGAUGACGGUACCGGAAGAAUAAGCACCGGCUAACUACGUGCCAGCAGCCGCGGUAAUACGUAGGGUGCAAGCGUUAAUCGGAAUUACUGGGCGUAAAGCGUGCGCAGGCGGUUUGCUAAGACCGAUGUGAAAUCCCCGGGCUCAACCUGGGAACUGCAUUGGUGACUGGCAGGCUAGAGUAUGGCAGAGGGGGGUAGAAUUCCACGUGUAGCAGUGAAAUGCGUAGAGAUGUGGAGGAAUACCGAUGGCGAAGGCAGCCCCCUGGGCCAAUACUGACGCUCAUGCACGAAAGCGUGGGGAGCAAAACAGGAUUAGAUACCCUGGUAGUCCACGCCCUAAAACGAUGUCAACUAGUUGUUGGGGAUUCAUUUCCUUAGUAACGUAGCUAACGCGUGAAGUUGACCGCCUGGGGAGUACGGUCGCAAGAUUAAAACUUAAAGGAAUUGACGGGGGUCAUA